rnacentral:misc_RNA from 1 species
GAUGAAGAACGUAGCGAAAUGCGAUAAGUAGUGUGAAUUGCAGAAUUCAGUGAAUCAUCGAAUCUUUGAACGCACAUUGCGCCCCUUGGUAUUCCAUGGGGCAUGCCUGUUCGAGCGUCAUUUGUACCUUCAAGCUUUGCUUGGUGUUGGGUGUUUGUCUCGCCUUUGCGUGUAGACUCGCCUUAAAAUAAUUGGCAGCCGGCGUAUUGAUUUCGGAGCGCAGUACAUCUCGCGCUUUGCACUCAUAACGACAGCGUCCAAAAGUACAUUUUACACUCUUGACCUCGGAUCAGGUAGGGAUACCCGCUGAACUUAAGCAUAUCAUAAGCGGAGGA